rnacentral:rRNA from 1 species
CCUACGGGAGGCAGCAGUGGGGAAUAUUGGACAAUGGGCGCAAGCCUGAUCCAGCCAUGCCGCGUGUGUGAUGAAGGCCUUAGGGUUGUAAAGCACUUUCACCGGAGAAGAUAAUGACGGUAUCCGGAGAAGAAGCCCCGGCUAACUUCGUGCCAGCAGCCGCGGUAACACGAAGGGGGCUAGCGUUGUUCGGAAUUACUGGGCGUAAAGCGCACGUAGGCGGAUAUUUAAGUCAGGGGUGAAAUCCCAGAGCUCAACUCUGGAACUGCCUUUGAUACUGGGUAUCUUGAGUAUGGAAGAGGUAAGUGGAAUUGCGAGUGUAGAGGUGAAAUUCGUAGAUAUUCGCAGGAACACCAGAGGCGAAGGCGGCUUACUGGUCCAUAACUGACGCUGAGGUGCGAAAGCGUGGGGAGCAAACAGGAUUAGAUACCCCAGUAGUC